rnacentral:tRNA from 1 species
GAAUAAGAAGCGAUUAAUUGCAAUCAGUUUCGACCUGAUCUUAGGUACUCUUUACCCUUAUUCU